GACCCUUAUCGCAGUUGUUUGAGUCCCACCACUAUAGAGGCGUUAAUUUGCACUCAAAAUUGGUUGAAGCCUGCUAAGAUAUUGGUUGAGCUUGAUGAAGGAGAUGCCGCUGUUGAUUCAGAAUUUUCUGGAGUUACUAGUGUCAGAGAUCCUGAAGUUCAAAGUGGAAUGCAAUCUCAUCAACCAUCUUAGGAAUGAAUGCUUGCUGAUAUAGUGUCAAUUAGAAGACUGGGAGAGAUAUGUCAAUUGGAACUU